rnacentral:lncRNA from 1 species
AUAUGUUUUCUCAGUGUGUGUGUGUAUCUUCAGUGAUAUGCUUUCUCAGGUUGUGUGUGUAUACCAUUAAUGCUUUCUCAGGUGUGUGUGUAUACAGUGAUAUGCUUUCUCAGGUGUGUGUGUGUAUACAGCGGUAUGCUUUCUCAGGUGUGUGUGUGUGUGUUACAGCAGAUAUGCUUUCUCAGGUGUGUGUGUUGUAUACACGAUUGCUUUCUCAGGUGUGUGUGUGUAUACAGCGAUAUGCUUUCUCAGGUGUGUGUGUGUAUACAGCAUAUGCUUUUCUCAGGUGUGUGUGUGUCUGCAGCGAUCUGCUUUCUCAGGUGGUGUGUGUGUAACGUGAUAUGCUUUCUCAGGUGUGUGUGUUGUAUACAAGCAAUAUGCUUUCUCAGGUGUGUGUGUGUUACAGCGUCUGCUUUCUCAGGUGGUGUGUGUGUAUACCGUGUAUGCGUUUCUCAGGUGUGUGUGUAUCUGCAGUGAU